CAUUCACGGAGAGUUUGAUCCUGGCUCAGGACGAACGCUGGCGGCGUGCUUAACACAUGCAAGUCGAACGAUGAACCACCUUCGGGUGGGGAUUAGUGGCGAACGGGUGAGUAACACGUGGGCAAUCUGCCCUGCACUCUGGGACAAGCCCUGGAAACGGGGUCUAAUACCGGAUACUGAACCACUUGGGCAUCCAGGCGGUUCGAAAGCUCCGGCGGUGCAGGAUGAGCCCGCGGCCUAUCAGCUUGUUGGUGAGGUAACGGCUCACCAAGGCGACGACGGGUAGCCGGCCUGAGAGGGCGACCGGCCACACUGGGACUGAGACACGG
rnacentral:rRNA from 1 species